rnacentral:lncRNA from 1 species
UGUGUGACAGAGGUUCCUAGCAGAACACUUGAAAAGGUAAGCUAAUCAAAAUGAAGACACUGUUAGUUCUCGUCUUCAAGACAGCCUUCUUAAAGAUAGUUCACAAUUACAAGACUCAACCAUUGUCGACAAUUUUAUUUUUCUAUUUUAUGCAGGGCCAGGCUUGGACUAUUAUGAAUGUUGCUGAACACUGUUAAUCAAGCUUACACAGCUAUUUUGAUGGCAAACAAUUAGAACUCUGCAGCUCUACCUUGCAAUUAGCUUCAGGGAUAUGGACCUCAGCACCAUAAUAAUGAAAGAGACCUCCUUCAAGCACGACUUCCAAGCAUUGCUGUUACCAAAUUUCAUCAGCCAACUAUCUGCUGUGGCCUGUCAAACAGAAUCCACGUGCAUGAUCUGGAUUUUGAUUCGGGGAGCGCUUGCAAAAGAAUUAGUAGCAAAACAGGAUCCUGAAAGUUUUUCAAAGAAUCCUUUCAAGAACAACUCAAGUCACUGCAUAUGGCUGCAGUUGGGGCUCACCACAUUUGUUGAUUUUUUUUUUUCCUGCCAAGAAUGGCUACAAUGCAGAAAAUUAGAAGAUGUAGGUGUUUAGGCCACUCACCAGUCAUGAGGAUGUGGACAUUUUUUACAGAAGUUCACUUUUCUUGAUCUGAAAGUGGAGACAAUCAUAUUUUUCCUACUCACAAAAGCCAACUUCCAGGAUGUUACGUUGAUAUAAUACAUGCAAAUAUACAAAAAAUAAUCUAUAAUUUGUAUUAAAAAUAUGCAAGAAAAAUAUACUUCAUAAAUAAGGAAGGUCAUUAUCAAUUCAAAACAGAAUAUUCCACUGAAAAUAAUAGAUUUUUUUUUCUGCUCCUCAACCACUCCUCUGAUUAUUUUUUCUUACUUUCCCUGGCAUCACUCUACUCUCCCCCCAAAAAAAAGAAAAAAGGAAGAAAGAAAAAAAUAAGAAAGAAAAACAAAAAGAAAGAAGAAAGAACAAAAGAAAGAAAAGAAAAAAAAUGCUUUCCUUAUAUGUUUUUGUUUUGUUUUUAGAUUUUAUUUAUUUAGUUGAGAAAGAGAGAGAGAGAGCACAUGAGUAGGGGAAGGGGCAGAGAGAGAAGCAGAGUCCCCACUGAGCAGGGAGCCAGACUCUGGCUUGAUCCCAGGUUCCUGAGAUCAUGGCCUGAGCCAAAGGAAGCCAUUAAAUGACUGUCACACAGGUGUUCUUGCUUCAUUUGUCUGAAUAAAUUUGUGAUGUAACUGCUUGUUAAGAUGAUA